AAUCCAUAGGUUAAUGAGGCGAACCGGGGGAACUGAAACAUCUAAGUACCCCGAGGAAAAGAAAUCAACCGAGAUUCCCCCAGUAGCGGCGAGCGAACGGGGAGGAGCCCAGAGCCUGAAUCAGCAUGUGUGUUAGUGGAAGCGUCUGGAAAGGCGCGCGAUACAGGGUGACAGCCCCGUACACAAAAGCGCAUGUGCUGUGAGCUCGAUGAGUAGGGCGGGACACGUGGUAUCCUGUCUGAAUAUGGGGGGACCAUCCUCCAAGGCUAAAUACUCCUGACUGACCGAUAGUGAACCAGUACCGUGAGGGAAAGGCGAAAAGAACCCCGGCGAGGGGAGUGAAAAAGAACCUGAAACCGUGUACGUACAAGCAGUGGGAGCACCCUUCGGGGUGUGACUGCGUACCUUUUGUAUAAUGGGUCAGCGACUUAUAUUCUGUAGCAAGGUUAACCGCAUAGGGGA
rnacentral:rRNA from 1 species